rnacentral:rRNA from 1 species
AUCAACUUUCGAUGGUAGGAUAGAGGCCUACCAUGUGGUAACGGGUAACGGGGUGUUAGGGCACGACACCGGAGAGGGAGCCUGAGAAACGGCUACCACAUCCAAGGAUGGCAGCAGGCGCGCAAAUUACCCAAUCCCGACACGGGGAGGUAGUGACAAUAAAUAACAAUACGGGGUCCUUUCGGGUUUCGUAAUUGGAAUGUGUACAAUUUAAAUCUCUUAACGAGGAACAACUGGAGGGCAAGUCUGGUGCCAGCAGCCGCGGUAAUUCCAGCUCCAAUAGCGUAUAUUAAAGUUGUUGCAGUUAAAAAGCUCGUAGUUGAAUUUCGGGAUCAGUACGCCGGUCGUGCUUCGGUAUGCACUGGUGUCACUGGUUCCUCCCUUCUGAAGAACCAUCAUGCCAUUCAGUUGGUGUGGCGGGGAAUCAGGACUGUUACUUUGAAAAAAUUAGAGUGUUUAAAGCAGGCUCGCGCUUGAAUACAUUAGCAUGGAAUAAUGAAAUAGGACGUUUGACCCUAUUUUGUUGGUUUCUAGGAUCGACGUAAUGAUUAAUAGGGAUAGUUGGGGGCAUUAGUAUUCAAUUGUCAGAGGUGAAAUUCUUGGAUUUAUUGAAGACUAACUACUGCGAAAGCAUUUGCCAAGGAUGUUUUCAUUAAUCAAGAACGAAAGUUAGGGGAUCGAAGACGAUCAGAUACCGUCGUAGUCUUAACCAUAAACUAUGCCGACUAGGGAUCGGAUGAUGUUAAUUUUUGAAUGACUCAUUCGGCGCCUUACGGGGAACCAAAGUGUUUGGGGUUC